rnacentral:lncRNA from 10 species
CACAGAGCGGCUCCUGGCUCCUCAGACCGCCGCAGCCCGUGGCUCCUGCCCUGGGUCUACCCAGGGCUACAAGGGUCUUUUGCGGUCGACCCUGCGGGGAACCGGUGGGAAAACUGAGGUCCCUAAACACAGAUUCGGAGCGCCCUCUUCCAGUUGGCAGCUGGAUGCCAGCCAGAGCUAUGCUGUGCCCUUGCCCUGAGAGUUUCCCGGGCACCGCCUCAUCCUGAGCGACAUCAGGGGGCCCGGGUCACGGUCGACUUCCAGGGGUCUCCACAGCCACGAAGGUUGGGGCCCGCCUUCCUGGAGCGAGUAAUCCAUCCAUCCCGUGAAUACUUGCCAGGCACAUUGCUAGGUGCUGGAGAGGCAAUGAGAGCACAUUCGGAGCCCUGCUCGCCUGAACUUUACCAUGGAGUGGAGGAGUGGACAUUAGUGACAUAAUUGCUCAAGUAAAUGGAGAAUUUCAGCGUUGACAAGUAUUAGUAAAGAGAAGUUCAGCGUGCUACAACCAUGAAUAAGCAAGGGACCCAAUCUAGUCUUGGGGUCAGGGAAGUGAUCCUGGAGAAGUGAAGAAUGAGCAGUUUUCUGAGUAAAGGGGAGUCGGUCAAAGCAAGAGAGAGCAUGGCCUGGAGGAAAGACUGAAGUAUGGUCAACACACUAGGACAGACUUUUGUCACAAACCCUUGUCUCCUCUGCAGGCCCAACAGACUUUGUCCCAGGCCAUUGCAUGUUCUUCAAGCCCAUUGAAUUACCCUAAAAAUCAUUUACUACCCAUCUAAAAUAUUCACACUCUGGAUGAUGGGGUAAUCACUCUGUGAUUAACUAUGCACAUUAAUAAACUUGUAUGUCUUUUCUCUUUUUUUUUUUUUUUUGAGAGCAAAUUUCACUCUUUUUGCCCAGGCUGGAGUGCAAUGGUGUGAUCUCUGCUCACCGCAACUUCUGCCUCCCAGGUUCAAGUGAUUCUCCUGCCUCAGCCUCCUGAGUAGCUGGGAUUACAGGCACCUGACAUCACGCCCGGCUAAUUUUGUAUCUUUAGUAGAAACGGGGUUUCACCAUGUUGACCAGGCUGGUCUCGAACCCCUGAUCUCAGGUGGUCCAAGCUCCUCGGCCUCCCAAAAUGAUGGGAUUAUAGGCGUGAGCCACAGUGCCUGGCUGCCUUUUCUCCUCUUAAUCUGCCUUUUGUCAAUUGAUUUUCACUAACCUUCAGAGAGCAAAGGAAAGUUUUCCCUUCACACAAAGAGUCACUUGAGCCUUCACCAGCUUUGAGAGAUUAUUGACCUAAUAGGCUUCCCCAUUGCCCCCAGUCAAAUGUGAGGUUGGGGUACAGAGGUGAGCCUAGAAUCCACGAUCUAGGGCUCCAGUGCAGGUCCUGUAUUGUGAGUGUGGCCUGUGGGGAGAGCUGAUUACAUCCUGUCUGCUGCUUCUGCAGCUUCUUUUGGGGCAUCAGGGUCCCCAGAAAUCAGAGACUCAACAAAGCAUGGAAAUACAGGGCAGUCCGCAUAGAAUGAACCUGAA